rnacentral:rRNA from 1 species
UACGGGGGGGAGCAAGCGUUGUUCGGAUUUACUGGGGCGUAAAGGGCGCGUAGGCGGCACCGCAAGUCGACUGUGAAAUCUCCGGGCUUAACUCGGAAAGGUCAGCCGAUACUGCGGGGGCUAGAGUGCAGAAGGGGCAACUGGGAAUUCUCGGUGUAGCGGUGAAAUGCGUAGAUAUCGAGAGGAACACCUGCGGCGAAGGCGGGUGCUGGGCUGACACUGACGCUGAUGCGCGAAAGCUAGGGAAGCGAACGGG